AGAUUAUUAUUUUUCCCUAUCUUUCUUGUGAUGGCCAGCAGACUAUGGAUGGAAGUGUUGUGUGCCAAUUCUAGAUCUGAUCCAUAAAAAUUUCCACAUGCAAUCCACUACACCCUUUCCAUUCUUGUCAGCCUUGGAAACCACAUAUUGAAGAUGUUGGAAUCACAAAAUGGAAGGAACCUGCGUCGUUGAAUUGCUACUUAGAUGAGAGCUGCCCGCUAAUCAGAAGCACCUAUUCUGGACUUUAAGAGGUUAAGAAAUGAAUUUAUAUGGUGGCCAGACGAGACUCAACCUUCAAAUGGGAGACUGGAAAAGAUGGCCUUUAAGGAUCGUCCCAACCAGGAGAUUUUCUAAUUCCAUGAUAGUGAAUGAAAUGAUAAUCUUGAACACCAUCGUUGAAAUCUAAUUUCCACCUUGGCAGAAUUGUUCUCACGCCUACAUUCACAAAAUUCUCAAGAGAUACUCAGGCUACCAGUAAAAGGUCCUCACUGUUCAGGCACUAUGGAGAUACAUA